ACGGAGGGUGCAAGCGUUAUCCGGAUUCAUUGGGUUUAAAGGGUGCGCAGGCGGUCUAUUAAGUCAGUGGUGAAAGCCUACAGCUCAACUGUAGAACUGCCAUUGAUACUGAUAGACUUGAAUGCGGUUGAAGUGGGUGGAAUGUGUAGUGUAGCGGUGAAAUGCAUAGAUAUUACACAGAACUCCGAUUGCGAAGGCAACUCACUAAACCGUUAUUGACGCUCAGGCACGAAAGCGUGGGGAGCGAACAGG
rnacentral:rRNA from 1 species